ensembl:lncRNA novel transcript
AGCUAGUAAAUAGCAGAAUCAGGAUUCUGACUGACUGUGUAAUGUAAUCACUAAGCUAUGAAAUAAAUGUAGGUUAUGUAAGCUUGCUUUAUGCUGAUGGUUUUAGUUAAAUGCAAAUAAUUCUGAUUGGCCAACUAACAUUAGAGCAAGUAAAUAUCAAAGACUGGUCCUCAAUGAGCAAUUCUGUAAAUAUCCAACCCUCUUACCUUCCAAACGGAAAAAAUGAAGGUACGAAAGUAUUUAUGCUGAAGUAACUGUUCAAGACAUACUUUCCCCAUCUCAUCUCUAAUAUAGAAGUGAAAAAAGCCAUGUAAUCCCACAUAUAACAAGAGUUCUGUAUUAAUAAAAUAUGGAAGUGUCUACCACUUAACAAAUUUGAAGAUUCCCCCGAUUUUUUUUUUUUUUUUUUGUAUCUUCCCCCGCCUUCCAAGACAGAGUCUUGCUCUGUCACCCAGUCUGGAGUGCAGUGGUGCGAUCUCGGCUCACUGCAACCUCCGCCUCCUGGGUUCAAGUGAUUCUCCUGCCUCAGCCUACCUAGUAGCUGAGGCAGAAGAAUCGCUUGAAUCCGGGCGUCAGAGUUUGCAGUGAGCCAAGAUCAUGCCACUGCACUCUAGCCUGGCAACAGAGUGAGACUCCAUCCAAAAAAAAAAACUUGAUUAUCAAGCUUUCAUCUGUCAUUUAUAAAAUAAUAAAAUAGCAAACGUUUAUAUAAUUACUUUGAGUCAGCUACUGAUCUUUGCAUUUUAACUAUAUCAUUUUAAUCCUCUCAAUAACUUUGAUAAAAGUACUUAUUUCUGAUUUCUGUGGAUGAGAAAACUGAAGCACAGUGAGGUUAAGAAACUUCCCAGAGAUCUCAUAGCUAGUAAGUAGCAGAGCUGGAAGUCUGAUCCGGAAGUCUGACUACAAGGCCCAUUAUGCUUUAAUCCUCUCUACAUUAGA